rnacentral:rRNA from 1 species
UACAGAGGUCUCAACCAUUGUUCGGAUUCAUUGGGCGUAAAGGGUGCGUAGGCGGCGGGGUAAGUCAGGUGUGAAAUCUCGGGGCUCAACCCCGAAACUGCACUUGAUACUGCCUCGCUUGAGUACUGGAGAGGAGACUGGAAUUUACGGUGUAGCAGUGAAAUGCGUAGAUAUCGUAAGGAAGACCAGUGGCGAAGGCGAGUCUCUGGACAGUUACUGACGCUGAGGCACGAAGGCCAGGGGAGCAAACGGG